GAGCUAUAGUAACAGUGAGAAGAAAAGAAAAGAAAAGAGAAGGAGAAGAAGGAAAGAAAAGGAAGAAGAAGAAGUAGGAAGAGAACUUCUUCAGUUGAGGCUACAAUUGGAUCAAUACUGCCCCUAGAUGAUGAGACCUGUGUUUUUUCGACUACCAGCCUUGAUCAUGAAACAAUGGCCAUGGAUUACUUGGCUAAUAUUCCAGAGGAUAAAACAGAUUAAGGACCCGACUGUGGAUGUGACGACUAUACCUACAGAGGCCAAUUCUUCUAAGGAAUAGGAUAGACUAUUCCUAUGUCUUUUGUGUAUAUAUUUAUAUUUCUGCUGAUGAGUACUCUGUUGUAUAUUGUCUACUACUGAGAUACUGUAAACUAUGUAAAUAUUCUCUUUUUGUAAGGUAUGUAACUCUCACUUGGAUAA